AUUGAACGCUGGCGGCAGGCCUAACACAUGCAAGUCGAGCGGAUGAAGGGAGCUUGCUCCUGGAUUCAGCGGCGGACGGGUGAGUAAUGCCUAGGAAUCUGCCUGGUAGUGGGGGAUAACGUCCGGAAACGGUCGCUAAUACCGCAUACGUCCUGAGGGAGAAAGUGGGGGAUCUUCGGACCUCACGCUAUCAGAUGAGCCUAGGUCGGAUUAGCUAGUUGGUGGGGUAAAGGCCUACCAAGGCGACGAUCCGUAACUGGUCUGAGAGGAUGAUCAGUCACACUGGAACUGAGACACGGUCCAGACUCCUACGGGAGGCAGCAGUGGGGAAUAUUGGACAAUGGGCGAAAGCCUGAUCCAGCCAUGCCGCGUGUGUGAAGAAGGUCUUCGGAUUGUAAAGCACUUUAAGUUGGGAGGAAGGGCAGUAAGUUAAUACCUUGCUGUUUUGACGUUACCAACAGAAUAAGCACCGGCUAACUUCGUG
rnacentral:rRNA from 1 species